ACGAACGCUGGCGGCGUGCCUAAAACAUGCAAGUCGAGCGAGGUAGGCAAUACCUAGCGGCGAACGGCGGAGUAAUACAUAAGUUACGUGCCCCGAAGACUGGAAUAGCCGGGCGAAAGCCCGAGUAAUGCCAGAUGUGGCUCAAGGAGAGAUUCUCUUUGAAUUAAACCGGGCAACCGGCUUCGGGAGCGGCUUAUGACCUAUCAGCUAGUUGGUGGGGUAAAGGCCUACCAAGGCUACGACGGGGUAGGGGAUCUGAGAGGAUGAUCCCCCGAGUGGGACUGAGACACGGCCCACACACCUACGGGUGGCAGCAGUUGGGAAUCUUGCACAAUGGAGGCAACUCUGAUGCAGCGACGCCGCGUGGAGGAUGACGGAUCUAGGUCUGUAAACUCCUUUCGCCAGGAAGACUUAGGACGGUACCUGGCGAAUAAGCACCGGCUAACUACGUGCCAGCAGCCGCGGUAAGACGUAGGGUGCAAGCGUUGUCCGGAUUUUACUGGGCGUAAAGGGCGCGUAGGCGGCUCGUUAAGUGUGAAGUGAAGUUUUUCAGGGCUCAACCCGAAAACUGCUUCGCAUACUGGCGGGCUUGAGGAACGCAGAGGUGACUAGAAUUCCCGGUGUAGCGGUUGAAAUGCGUUGAUAUCGGGAGGAAUUCCCAUGGCGAAGGCAGGUCACUGGGCGUUUUCUGACGCUGAGGCGCGAAAGCGUGGGUAGCAGACAGAUUAGAUACCCUGGUAGUCCACGCCCUAAACUAUGGAUGUUAGACGUUGGAGGUAUCGACCCCUCCGGUGUCGCAGCAAACGCAUUAAACAUCCCGCCUGGGGAGUACGGCCGCAAGGUUGAAACUCAAAUGAAUUGACGGGGACCCGCACAAGCGGUGGAGCAUGUGGAUUAAUUCGAUACUAACCGAAGAACCUUACCAGGUUUGACAUCGAUGGUAACCCGGUGAAAGCCGGUCCUCCCGCCACAAGCGGGACCUGAAGACAGAUGUUGCAUGGCUGUCGUCAGCUCGUGCCGUGAGGUGUACGGUUAAGUCCGCCAACGAGCGCAACCCUCGUCCUAUGUUGCCAACGGGUAACGCUGGGAACUCAUAGGAGACCGCCGGUGUAAGCCGGAGGAAGGUGGGGAUGACGUCAAGUCAGCAUGGCUCUUACGCCUGGGGCUUCACACAUGCUACAAUGGGCAAAACAAAGGGCACCGAAACCGAGAGGUUGAGGCAAUCCCAAAAUAUGCCCUCAGUUCAGAUUGUAGUCUGCAACUCGACUACAUGAAGGUGGAAUCGCUAGUAAACGCAGGUCAGCUAUACUGCGUUGAAUACGUUCCCGGGUCUUGUACACACCGCCCGUCAAGUCACCUGAAUUGUCUUCACCCGAAGUCCGUGGCCUAACCGCAAGGAGGGAGCGGCCGAAGGUGAGGGGAGUAAGGGGGACU
rnacentral:rRNA from 1 species